rnacentral:lncRNA from 1 species
AAACACUCAUGGCGUCCCCAGGGCAUGCAGGGUAGAGGGUGACGCGAAAUUAAAAGGGAAGGAGAUUAUUUUUAAUCCUCUUGGUAGGUGUUGAAACAAUGCAGGGAGGGCCAAGCCGCUGAGUCGGUCGCCUUAGACUGAGGCUGGAAGGACCGACGCUGCCACUGGGAGCAGCUUUUCUCCCCACAGGUAUUGCCACAUUGUAUCUGCUGGCCACACGUGCGGGCUCUCCUGGGCUUUUGCCAGAACUGGAUGACGUCAUUGUUUAAUUCCUGGUAAUAUAUGAAAAAUGGCAUCUCACUCCCGUCUCGAUUU